GGCAGCAUGGCCUAGUGGUUUGAGCGUCGGACUCUGACUCUGGAGACCAGGGCUUGAUUCCCAGCUCAGCUA